GGCAAGGGGGGGGGUGCUAUACAUGCAGUCGAACGCUUCUUUUUCCACCGGAGCUUGCUCCACCGGAAAAAGAGGAGUGGCGAACGGGUGAGUAACACGUGGGUAACCUGCCCAUCAGAAGGGGAUAACACUUGGAAACAGGUGCUAAUACCGUAUAACAAUCAAAACCGCAUGGUUUUGAUUUGAAAGGCGCUUUCGGGUGUCGCUGAUGGAUGGACCCGCGGUGCAUUAGCUAGUUGGUGAGGUAACGGCUCACCAAGGCCACGAUGCAUAGCCGACCUGAGAGGGUGAUCGGCCACAUUGGGACUGAGACACGGCCCAAACUCCUACGGGAGGCAGCAGUAGGGAAUCUUCGGCAAUGGACGAAAGUCUGACCGAGCAACGCCGCGUGAGUGAAGAAGGUUUUCGGAUCGUAAAACUCUGUUGUUAGAGAAGAACAAGGAUGAGAGUAACUGUUCAUCCCUUGACGGUAUCUAACCAGAAAGCCACGGCUAACUACGUGCCAGCAGCCGCGGUAAUACGUAGGUGGCAAGCGUUGUCCGGAUUUAUUGGGCGUAAAGCGAGCGCAGGCGGUUUCUUAAGACUGAUGUGAAAGCCCCCGGCUCAACCGGGGAGGGUCAUUGGAAACUGGGAGACUUGAGUGCAGAAGAGGAGAGUGGAAUUCCAUGUGUAGCGGUGAAAUGCGUAGAUAUAUGGAGGAACACCAGUGGCGAAGGCGGCUCUCUGGUCUGUAACUGACGCUGAGCCUCGAAAGCGUGGGGAGCAAACAGGAUUAGAUACCCUGGUAGUCCACGCCGUAAACGAUGAGUGCUAAGUGUUGGAGGGUUUCCGCCCUUCAGUGCUGCAGCUAACGCAUUAAGCACUCCGCCUGGGGAGUACGACCGCAAGGUUGAAACUCAAAGGAAUUGACGGGGGCCCGCACAAGCGGUGGAGCAUGUGGUUUAAUUCGAAGCAACGCGAAGAACCUUACCAGGUCUUGACAUCCUUUGACCACUCUAGAGAUAGAGCUUCCCCUUUCGGGGCAAAGUGACAGGUGGUGCAUGGUUGUCGUCAGCUCGUGUCGUGAGAUGUGGGUAAGUCCCGCAACGAGCGCAACUCCUUAUGUAGGUGCCAUCAUUCAGUUGGGCACUCUAGCAGGACUGCGUGACAACCGGAGAAGGUGGGGGAAUGACGUCAAAUCAUCAUGCCCCCGUAUA
rnacentral:rRNA from 1 species